AUGUACAGAUUCACAGGAGUGAGAGUUUAUUCAUUAGUGAUGAUCUGCCUGAUUAAAGAUCUCUACGUCAUCAUUAUGGUGAAUAUGUGUUUGAUUCUGUUAUUAGCUGGAGGACUGAGUUUGUUGUUGCUCAAGCGGAAAUGUAAAAAGACACAAGGUUCAGUCUCAUCAGAUCAGAGGAGCACAAGAGACGAUGAUGAGGUGGCCUCAUCUGCUUAUUAUGCAACGAUCCCAGACUCUGGAAACACAACAUUACACCCGUCUGUUCAGAAGCCCAUUGGUUUAAACACGGUUUAUGACACGGCCCAUUUACCCACAAACCCCUCUGACAGUGAUUUCUACACACUGGCUGAACAACCUCAAAAUAUGACAUGUUUGUGAUUCAGUAUGUUGGCAUAUAUUAGAAUAAAUAAAGUCAAUUAUUUGUCA
ensembl:lncRNA